rnacentral:rRNA from 1 species
GACGAACGCUGGCGGCGUGCCUAACACAUGCAAGUCGAACGGAAAAGGCCGGCUUUUCUUUGGUGCCUGAGUGGCGAACGGGUGAGUAACACGUGAGUAACCUGCCUUUUACUGUGGGAUAACUUCUGGAAACUGGGGCUAAUACCGGAUACGAGCUGCUGUUGCAUGGUGGUGGUUGGAAAGGUUCGGCGGGAGGGGCUGGACGUGGGGCUUAUUAGCUUGUUGGGGGGGGAGUGGCAAACGCAGGCUUUGACGGAUAGACGUCCUGGGAGGGUGACCGGCCACAUGAGGACUCAGGGACGGCCCAGACGGCUACGGGGGGCAGCGGUGGAAAGUAUUGCACACUGGGCCGAAGCCUGAAACAACGGCGUCGCGUGCGGAAUGACGGCUUUCUGGGUGGAAAGCGCAUUCGACUGUGACGUAGCGUGUGUGACGGUACUAGGUAAAGAAGCACCGGCUAACUACGUG